rnacentral:rRNA from 1 species
UACGGUACCGUAAACGGCGUUAAUCGGAAUCACUGGGCGUAAAGCGCUCGUAGGUGGCUUUGUAAGUCAGGUGUGAAAGCCCACGGCUCAACCGUGGAAUUGCACUUGAUACUGCAUUGCUUGAGUUCGGGAGAGGGUAGUGGAAUUCCAGGUGUAGGAGUGAAAUCCGUAGAGAUCUGGAGGAACACCAGUGGCGAAGGCGACUACCUGGACCGAUACUGACACUGAGGAGCGAAAGCGUGGGGAGC